AGAGUUUGAUCCUGGCUCAGAACGAACGCUGGCGGCGUGCUUAACACAUGCAAGUCGAACGCGAAAGCCUGGGCAACUGGGUGAGUAGAGUGGCGCACGGGUGAGCAACACGUGGGUAACCUACCUUCGAGUGGGGAAUAACUCCUCGAAAGGGGAGCUAAUACCGCAUAAGACCACGACUUCUUUAGGAGUUGUGGUCAAAGGUGGCCUCAUUUUCUAGAGCAUUUGGGAUGAUCCUCUCGAGUGGAGGAUGAUCCUCAGUGCUUUGUCGAGUGAAGCUGCCGCUUGAAGAGGGGCCCGCGGCCCAUCAGCUAGUUGGUAGGGUAAUGGCCUACCAAGGCGACGACGGGUAGCUGGUCUGAGAGGACGACCAGCCACACGGGAAUUGAGAUACGGUCCCGACUCCUACGGGAGGCAGCAGUGGGGAAUCUUGGGCAAUGGGGGAAACCCUGACCCAGCGACGCCGCGUGGGGGAUGAAGGCUCUCGGGUCGUAAACCCCUGUUAGGUGGGACGAACAUUCUCUGGUAAAUAACUGGAGGAUCUGACGGUACCACCAGAGAAAGCCCCGGCUAACUCCGUGCCAGCAGCCGCGGUAAUACGGAGGGGGCAAGUGUUGUUCGGAAUUACUGGGCGUAAAGGGCGCGUAGGCGGCUUGGCAAGUCGAGUGUGAAAUCCCUUGGCUUAACUGAGGAAUGGCGCUCGAAACUACCUCGCUAGAGGGCGGGAGAGGGAAGUGGAACUCUCGGUGUAGGGGUGAAAUCUGUAGAUAUCGAGAGGAACACCGGUGGCGAAGGCGGCUUCCUGGCCCGUACCUGACGCUGAGGCGCGAAAGCGUGGGGAGCAAACAGGAUUAGAUACCCCCGUAGUCC
rnacentral:rRNA from 1 species